GUGAUUGCAGAUUCAGUGAAUCAUCCGAAUCCUUUUGAACGCACAUUUUGCGCCCCUGGUAUUUCCGGGGGGCAUGCCUGUUCGAGCGUCAUUCUCACCACUCAAGCCUCGCUUGGUAUUGGGCAACGCGGUCCGCCGCGUGCCUCAAAUCGUCCGGCUGGGUCUUCUGUCCCCUAAGCGUUGUGGAAACUAUUCGCUAAAGGGUGUUCGGGAGGCUACGCCGUAAAACAACCCCAUUUCUAAGGUUGACCUCGGAUCAGGUAGGGAUACCCGCUGAACUUAAGCAUAUCAUAAAACGGA
rnacentral:misc_RNA from 1 species